rnacentral:rRNA from 1 species
UACGUAGGGGGCUAGCGUUGUCCGGAUUUAUUGGGCGUAAAGAGCGUGUAGGCGGCCAGGUAGGUCUGCUGUGAAAACUCGAGGCUCAACCUCGAGACGCCGAUGGAAACCAUCUGGCUAGAGUCCGGAAGAGGGGAGUGGAAUUCCUGGUGUAGCGGUGAAAUGCGCAGAUAUCAGGAAGAACACCCGUGGCUAAGGCGGCUCUCUAGUACGGUACUGACGCUGAGACGCGAAAGCGUGGGGAGCGAACAGG